rnacentral:rRNA from 1 species
UACGUAGGGUGCGAGCGUUGUCCGGAUUUAUUGGGCGUAAAGAGCUCGUAGGCGGUUUGUCGCGUCGGCCGUGAAAUCUCCACGCUUAACGUGGAGCGUGCGGUCGAUACGGGCAGACUUGAGUUCGGUAGGGGAGACUGGAAUUCCUGGUGUAGCGGUGAAAUGCGCAGAUAUCAGGAGGAACACCGGUGGCGAAGGCGGGUCUCUGGGCCGAUACUGACGCUGAGGGGCGAAAGCGUGGGGAGCGAACAGG